UUUAAAUUAACGAUUUUUCGGCAAAAUAAAUACAAAAUGAAUACUUGUUAACUUUAAUGCCAAUGAAUUUUGUACCUGUAAAUUUUUCACAAACUUCCUACUCCAGGCUUGGAGGACAUACCAUAAUUUUACUAUAAAUAUUGAAAACAUCAUCGUGGUUAUCAUUAUUACCACUAACUUCCAACAGUUCAACAUGUUCAAGUUUUUGCUUUUCUUGGCUCUCGUCGCUUUUGCUUUAGCUGUCCCUAAAGCCCGCCCUCAGUACUUGGGCGCUGGUCUUUAUGGAGGUUAUUCAUCUUUGGGAUAUUCGUCUUUGGGAUAUGCUCCAUAUGGUAGUUACGGUUUAGGAUAUGGAUAUGGAUACAUUUAAAUUUGUACUUAUGAUAGACUUUUACAACAAUAAAAUUUAUUAAACAAAGAA